rnacentral:lncRNA from 1 species
UGGUCGACCUUGAACUUGGGCUUCUGGGUCUGACUCUCCCAUACUUUAUACUUUUUUAUUCUUCUUUUUCUUCAUUUCUUAAAGGGAUCGGAUGAUGCCCACUCAAAGAAGAUCCUCCCACUACAUUCAUUAUCUUCUUAUAGAGUUGAUGAUCCUUCUCAAAAGUCUGUAGCAACCCCAACAGAUUGUGAUAGUUGACUACAGGCUUCGUCAUUCGAAAAUGA